rnacentral:rRNA from 1 species
GUUAUAGUUUAUUUGAUACAUUAAAUGGAUAACUGUAGGAAACUAGAGCUAAUACAUGCCAAAGUCGUAAGGCUGCAUUUAUUAGAUAUACCAAGACGGUGAAUCAUGAUAACUUAGCAAAUCGAAACCACGUUUCGAUAAAUCAUUCAAGUUUCUGACCUAUCAUGCUCUCGAUGGUAGUGUAUUGGACUACCAUGGCAGUCACGGGUAACGGAGAAUUAGGGUUCGAUUCCGGAGAAGGAGCCUGAGAAACGGCUACUACAUCUACGGAAGGCAGCAGGCGCGUAAAUUACCCAAUCCUAAAAUCGGGGAGGUAGUGACAAGAUAUAACAACGCGACUAAAAAUCGCGAUUGUAGUGAGGGUAUUCUAAACAUAGCUUCGAGUACGAUUGGAGGGCAAGUCUGGUGCCAGCAGCCGCGGUAAUUCCAGCUCCAAUAGCGUAUAUUAAAGUUGUUGCAGUUAAAAAAGCUCGUAGAUGCGCUU